CGAAAACUGCAAAGGAUUGCCCACCAGCUUGUUAAGCCCAUAACAUUCAAGGUGGCAUUUGUGUCUGCAAACGUUGUGCCUGAAGAAAAAAGAAUCCGAACAAAAAAACUCUAAAUUUAAGCCUUUCGACAAUGCCAUAUAUUUUAAGAUAAACUUUGUAUCCAAAAAAUUGGCAAAUAAAUUAUUAGUGAACAAAAAGGUUGUCAAAGAGAACUUAUUUACUUAUGUUAUACUUCGUUCAAGUAUCGUAACUUCAUAUAUUUUCAAUUGAACAUGCAUGGUUCUAAUUUUCGAUCCAUCGAAUUUAUAUACUGUCAAUGCAAUCCUUUAAUUACUGGAUUUAACGACUACUGUUAUAAUAUCAUGCCAGCUAGUCAUUUCCACAUAAUUCGCACAAAAAGAGGCUUGAUUUAAUUAAUGGAUUUAACGACUACUGCUUGGGUUAAGAUAGAGAUAUCAAAAGUCAAAAAAUGAUCUAAUUGGAGAAUAGGAACUAAACCUACAACUUACCGAUACUAUGAGAUUGAUAACAUAAUUUAAUCUACCCUACAGUUUAUUUGGGCACUAGGAUUUCAAAUUUUAAAAAUUAGAUACAAUAAUCGUGGGGGGAGAUGUAGAGGGACAAGGGACGGGUAAAUUUUUAUUUUUUAUCAUAACAUAUUUAUUUACUUUAAUAUUAAUAUAAAAUUAUUUUUAAUUAAAUUUUAAUGGGGUUUUGACUUUAGCAAUCCCAUUAGUUAAAACUUUAUUUUAAUGGCACUAACUACGGGUACCAACUCCAGUAACAGAAUCAAAGUUUAGGUAUUCGGAUUGGUCAAAAAAUAGUUUUAGUACCAAUGUCAAACAAAGCAAAUAGUUCAAGGGCCUCCUAUUCAAUUAAGCCUUUAAUAAAAUAUCAAAUUAAAGAGAAGGAUGUUGGUAAAUGUGCUCGUAUUAUUGUAAACAUUUACAUAUUUUCUAUGCAUUUGAACGAUGAAUAAAUAAAUAAAGUUAAUUUCACAUUUCACUUUUGUAUCUUGUGUUUCUGUCUUCCAUGUUUUACUUACGUAUCGAAAUUGUAACAAGCAAAUGUUAGCUCAUUGAUUGUCUAAGUUGAAACCGAUGAUAAGUGUGGCACUAUAAGAAUGUUUACAUUUCCAGAAAGAUAAUUUACUUCUAUUGAUAAUCUAAACGAGUCAGUAAUCCCGUAAAAGAAUCAAAGUGAGCAUUUGAUUCAAAUAUUCAGAAGCAUUAUUAGGUCGUCUAUAAUUCUAGUUAGGGAUAUGAUUAGUGUUGGUUGUCCGAGCAGUUGAAUCCACCGGUAGAGACAUAAAUGUAUUGCUUUGAAGAAUGAGACAUUAGACUGAACCUAAGAUGGAUCAAUUCACUUGUGACGUUCAUGGUUUGACUUACCUAAAUCCUGAGUUAGUCACUGACCAUGCGUAUGUAACUCAUGUGCUUUGAUAUUAGUGUAGUCUUAUGCUAUUAACAUGACCGAGUCGAUAGCCAAUAUGUUGGGUACAUGACUUGAGUUUGGCAUUGCUUUACUAACAACAAUGAAAUCCAUAGCUCGACUAAGAGUUAACGAUAUCCUCUUCUUGAUAUUGUUUGGAUUGAUUAAAUGGAUUUGGCCACGGGGUUGCUUAUUCUCGAACGAGUAAUUUGUCAGAGUCACUAGUUGGCAUUGAUCAUAUUAACAGUUAAGAAGACACAACGAUGACGAUAAGAUAAAAUAUGAUUUUAUUGAGUGAAUAAAUCUAACUUAAAGGACUCAAUGAUAUCAUAUGAGAUCAUUAGACAAUGUAGUUGGAUGAAUUGCUUUCAUAAAGAGUAAACAAUAAGUAGUUUUCAAUCGCGGUACUACAUGUGGACUGACUUCAAGAUUAAGUAAAUUGUGAAUUAUCUGAACGAAGCUUCUGGACAUAAUUGCAUUUACUCGAGCCUAAUUGUAUAUGUCCAAUUCGUCCCUCUGCUAGCUCAACAAAAGCUCAAUCGGACUGCAUUUGAAUCAAAAGAAAAUUCUAUGACUUUGGAAAUAAUUUAAUUGAGUCGAUUUAUUCAGGAUAACUAUUAUGCCUCCUUUAUUAGAAACACAUUGAGUUCGACUUACUCUCUCACUAUCGGAGAUAACAUACACAUACAAACAUCCAACCAUUUAGUGAUUUCUUUUUUCACUACCUCCUCCAUAGUUGGUUUAACUGAUAUUACGCAUCAACAAUUGGCUUCUUACCUUAUUCCAGCAAAAGUUAAAAAAAUAUAAAUUAUAAAAAUAAAAAACAAUCUAAUUAGAGAAUAGGAACCAAAUCCACAACUAACACAUAGUACGAGACUAAUAGCUUAAUUUAAUCUAACAAAUUUAACUUCUAUUGUUUAUGCAAGUACUAGAAUUUCAAAUUAAAAAAGUAGAAUAAUUAAAAUUGAUCAGAUAAAAGUAAAAGGACUAAAUCCACAACUAAUGUAUGGUAAAAAGAUUAAUAAAAAAAAGUCAAUCGUAUGAAUUAGGGUUUAUUUUUUAAGUUUACGAGCACAAUUACUAAGGUGUGGAUAAAAAUAAUAGCCAAUUAUUUGUAAUUUUUUAUUACCUACAAGUUCUUGUAUAAAAAUAUUAUUUUCAAUUAAUUAUCAAAAAAAGGAAAAUGUUAAUAUAUGGUAAGUAUAUCUAAAUUAAUGGAGCUAUUAUUAUCUUGCCAUAGGUGACGUAUAGAGCAUAGUGCAAAAUCUUCUAUAUGAUUUUUCUCUUCCUACAAAAUUCGCAAGUAUAUCUUCACCUACCAAGUCAUAACUUUACUGCAAUAUUAGGUUAAAGAAAUUCCAAGAAAUUCAACUAUAAAUGGCCAAAUGCAUGUCAUUUUUUGUAUAUCAUCAGCUUGUUAUCAUAUAACUAACUCUUUGUUUCAUCUCUCAAUAGCUUUCAUUUUAAACUAUGGCUUCUUUCGGCGUGGUUUCUCUUUUUGCGGUUUUGCUUGUGGCUUCUUGUUAGUAUCUAAAAUAUUUAUCCUGUUCGAUAUUUAAUUAUUACAUACAUAUAUAUACAUGUAACUUUUUUAGUAUAAAAGCGAUUGCAGUAUUAAAAUAAGGGAGGGGUUGCAAUCGUUGCGAUUCAAAUCCUAUGUGUCUUAAACUUAUAUAUAAUAGGUAAUAUAAUAUAACUAACAAAAUUUUUAAAUGAUGAAAAAUUUGUUGUUUAAUUUGCAGGUGUAUCAAACUCAGAAGCAUGCACUCGUGACAUAGACUGUUUGGGCCAGUGUAAACAUGGUGGUUUUUGUGACUUGACAACUAAAAAAUGUAGUUGCUUGCCGGUGUCGGGGCAGCUACCAUCUAACAUUGCAGCAACAGCGGACGCUAUGCAGCGAUGACGAAAACUGCAAAGGAUUGCCCACCAGCUUGUUAAGCCCAUAACAUUCAAGGUGGCAUUUGUGUCUGCAAACGUUGUGCCUGAAGAAAAAAGAAAAUCCGAACAAAAAACUCUAAAUUUAAGCCUUUCGACAAUGCCAUAUAUUUUAAGAUAAACUUUGUAUCCAAAAAAUUGGCAAAUAAAUUAUUAAUGAAUAAAAAGGUUGUCAAAGAGAACUUAUUU
rnacentral:lncRNA from 1 species